rnacentral:rRNA from 1 species
GAUGAACGCUGGCGGCGUGCCUAAUACAUGCAAGUCGAGCGAACAGACGAGGAGCUUGCUCCUCUGACGUUAGCGGCGGACGGGUGAGUAACACGUGGAUAACCUACCUAUAAGACUGGGAUAACUUCGGGAAACCGGAGCUAAUACCGGAUAAUAUAUUGAACCGCAUGGUUCAAUAGUGAAAGACGGUUUUGCUGUCACUUAUAGAUGGAUCCGCGCCGCAUUAGCUAGUUGGUAAGGUAACGGCUUACCAAGGCAACGAUGCGUAGCCGACCUGAGAGGGUGAUCGGCCACACUGGAACUGAGACACGGUCCAGACUCCUACGGGAGGCAGCAGUAGGGAAUCUUCCGCAGUGGGCGAAAGCCUGACGGAGCAACGCCGCGUGAGUGAUGAAGGUCUUCGGAUCGUAAAACUCUGUUAUUAGGGAAGAACAAAUGCGUAAGUAACUAUGCACGUCUGGACGGUACCUAAUCAGAAAGCCACGGCUAACUACGU